CACGAACGCUGGCGGCGUGCCUAAUACAUGCAAGUCGAGCGCAGGAAACUGACGGAACUCUUCGGAGGGAAGGCAGUGGGAUGAGCGGCGGACGGGUGAGUAACACGUAAGGAACCUGCCUCAAGGAUUGGGAUAACUCCGAGAAAUCGGAGCUAAUACCGGAUAGUUCAACGGACCGCAUGGUCCGCUGAUGAAAGGCGCUCCGGCGUCACCUUGAGAUGGCCUUGCGGUGCAUUAGCUAGUUGGUGGGGUAACGGCCCACCAAGGCGACGAUGCAUAGCCGACCUGAGAGGGUGAUCGGCCACACUGGGACUGAGACACGGCCCAGACUCCUACGGGAGGCAGCAGUAGGGAAUCUUCCACAAUGGACGAAAGUCUGAUGGAGCAACGCCGCGUGAGUGAUGAAGGUUUUCGGAUCGUAAAACUCUGUUGUAAGGGAAGAACACGUACGAGAGGGAAUGCUCGUACCUUGACGGUACCUUACGAGAAAGCCACGGCUAACUACGUGCCAGCCGCCGCGGUAAUAC
rnacentral:rRNA from 1 species